rnacentral:rRNA from 1 species
CUACGGGACGCAGCAGUGGGGAAUCUUGCACAAUGGAGGAAACUCUGAUGCAGCGAUGCCGCGUGAGUGAAGAAGGCCCUUGGGUUGUAAAGCUCUUUUGUCGGGAAAGAUAAUGACUGUACCCGAAGAAUAAGGUCCGGCUAACUUCGUGCCAGCAGCCGCGGUAAUACGAAGGGACCUAGCGUAAUUCGGAAUUACUGGGCGUAAAGCGCGCGUAGGCGGUUAAGUAAGUUAAUUGUGAAAGCCCAAAGCUCAACUUUGGAAUUGCAAUUAAAACUACUUAGCUAGAGUUUAUCAGAGGAAAGCGGAAUACAUAGUGUAGAGGUGAAAUUCGUAGAUAUUAUGUAGAACACCAGUUGCGAAGGCGGCUUUCUGGGAUAACACUGACGCUGAGGUGCGAAAGUAUGGGUAGCGAAGAGGAUUAGAUACCCCUGUAGUC